AGUGAACGCUGGCGGUAGGCCUAACACAUGCAAGUCGAACGGCAGCACAGUAAGAGCUUGCUCUUACGGGUGGCGAGUGGCGGACGGGUGAGGAAUACAUCGGAAUCUACUUUUUCGUGGGGGAUAACGUAGGGAAACUUACGCUAAUACCGCAUACGACCUACGGGUGAAAGCAGGGGAUCUUCGGACCUUGCGCGAUUGAAUGAGCCGAUGUCGGAUUAGCUAGUUGGCGGGGUAAAGGCCCACCAGGGCGACGAUCCGUAGCUGGUCUGAGAGGAUGAUCAGCCACACUGGAACUGAGACACGGUCCAGACUCCUACGGGAGGCAGCAGUGGGGAAUAUUGGACAAUGGGCGCAAGCCUGAUCCAGCCAUACCGCGUGGGUGAAGAGGGCCUUCGGGUUGUAAAGCCCUUUUGUUGGGAAAGAAAAGCAGCAGGUUAAUACCCCGCUGUUCUGACGGUACCCAAAGAAUAAGCACCGGCUAACUUCGUG
rnacentral:rRNA from 1 species